rnacentral:rRNA from 1 species
GAUGGACGCUGGCGGCGUGCCUAAUACAUGCAAGUCGAGCGAACGGACUAGAAGCUUGCUUCUCUGAUGUUAGCGGCGGACGGGUGAGUAACACGUGGAUAACCUACCUAUAAGACUGGGAUAACUUCGGGAAACCGUAGCUAAUACCGGAUAAUAUUUUGAACCGCAUGGUUCAAAAGUGAAAGACGGUCUUGCUGUCACUUAUAGAUGGAUCCGCGCUGCAUUAGCUAGUUGGUAAGGUAACGGCUUACCAAGGCAACGAUGUAUAGCCGACCUGAGAGGGUGAUCGGCCACACUGGAACUGAGACACGGUCCAGACUCCUACGGGAGGCAGCAGUAGGGAAUCUUCCGCAAUGGGCGAAAGCCUGACGGAGCAACGCCGCGUGAGUGAUGAAGGUCUUCGGAUCGUAAAACUCUGUUAUUAGGGAAGAACAUAUGUGUAAGUAACUGUGCACAUCUUGACGGUACCUAAUCAGAAAGCCACGGCUAACUACGUG